UUAAGUUCAGCGGGUAGUCCUACCUGAUUUGAGGUCAAAUUGUCAGAAAGUUGUCUCAAGAGACGAUUAGAAGCUGAAACCCCAUUAUAAGCUGCUUGACCACAAUGGCGUAGAUAAUUAUCACACCAAAGCCAGGCAACAAAGGGUCCUGCUAAUGAAUUUAAGGAGAGCCGACUUCUGAGAAGCCCGCAUACUCCCAC
rnacentral:misc_RNA from 1 species